UUUUGUCUAGUAUACUUAUUACAAUUACCUUCCAAGUAAAAAAUCUACAAUUUAGGGCUUUAG
rnacentral:tRNA from 1 species